GACGAACGCUGGCGGCGUGCUUAACACAUGCAAGUCGAACGGAAAGGCCCUGCUUUUGUGGGGUGCUCGAGUGGCGAACGGGUGAGUAACACGUGAGUAACCUGCCCUUGACUUUGGGAUAACUUCAGGAAACUGGGGCUAAUACCGGAUAGGAGCUCCUGCUGCAUGGUGGGGGUUGGAAAGUUUCGGCGGUUGGGGAUGGACUCGCGGCUUAUCAGCUUGUUGGUGGGGUAGUGGCUUACCAAGGCUUUGACGGGUAGCCGGCCUGAGAGGGUGACCGGCCACAUGGGGACUGAGAUACGGCCCAGACGCCUACGGGAGGCAGCAGUGGGGAAUAUUGCACAAUGGGCGGAAGCCUGAUGCAGCAACGCCGCGUGCGUGAUGACGUCCUUCGGGUUGUAAACCGCUUUCGCCUGUGACGAAGCGUGAGUGACGGUAAUGGGUAAAGAAGCACCGGCUAACUACGUG
rnacentral:rRNA from 1 species